CCGUCUUUAGCUCAGUUGGUAGAGCGUGAGACUGUAAUGGUUAACUUUCAUCUCAAUGUCACCUGUUCGACCCAGGUAAGACGGA